GAAUCAGAGCCUUCUGGCUGCCUGUGGAAGACAGUCUCCUCCUAGCAGUCUUUAGAUCAAGAUGUAAAACUCUUGGCUCUCUAGCACUCUCUAGUCUUCUGAGCAGGAGAGAAGAACGCACUGAAGGGCAGGGAAGACCUGGAAAUGAACAACAGCUCUUUGAAGGAGAUUAGGGAGUAAGAUGGUUUGUAUAUGCUUGGCCCAGUGAGUGGGCCAUAUUAGAAGGUGUGGCUCUGUUGGAGUAGGUGUGGUACUGUGGGUGUGGGCUUCAAGACCCUCUUCCUAGUUGCCAGGAAGCCUGUAUUCUGCUAGCAGCCUUCAGAUGAAGAUGUAGAACUCUCUCAUCCUGCCUGGAUGCUGCCAUGCUUCCACCUUGAGGAUAAUGGACUGAACCCCUGAGCCUGUAAGCCAGCCCCAAUUAAAUGCUGUCAUUUAU
rnacentral:lncRNA from 1 species